UGCGGGACAGCUUGCGUGUGAGAGAGAGGCUGCGCCCGGCCACUCUUCUCCGUCCGCGGCGGGGCAGGGAGCGGAGCGGCGGGGCGGGCGACGGCAAAUGCAGCGCAGCCACAGACCUUUAAUCUGCGGCAGUUCCGGCUCCGGCAGCGGAUGCGCUCGCCCAAGAAUGGCUGCCGUUUGUCCGGCUGGCUGCCACAGGAGCCGGAGCCCGGCAUCAGACUGCCGGUUUGUGACCGACGGAGCCGGUGGCGGAUGAUGCUGCAGAUGGACUAACAACACAAAAUGGAGGGAGGUCCAUUUCUGCUUGACUGACGAACAAGAGCGAGGAGACCUUCGAGAAGAAAAGACAGCAGUAAAAGGAGGGAUGAGUCAUCUGUUGAGUUUUCCCAGAUGCCAUGGAAGAUCAGCAGAUGGCACCCCCCGCCGCCCACCUGUUCGGAGCAGGCCGUUCAGGAGGCAGCCCGCGGGGUGGAGGACGAUAGCAUCCCGGCGGCAUCGGCGAAAGCGAUGAAGGACAGAUUUCCAACAGCAGGGGGCGCUGCUGAGCACACCCAACUCUUGAACUUUAACCAACUGCAAGAGGAGCAGCUGAAGGAGAUCCACUACAGCAGGAAGCUGGCCCCCAAGUCACAGCCCCCUGCUAAACUACCUACUCCAGCACAGACCAGAACAUGCAUCCUGUGUGCUUUCUGUUGAAUCUGGCAUACUUCAAGUAUGACAUGAACAUGUACAUACCUAAGAACGCAGAUCUGACCACAGAUGUAAUAGACUUUGUUUUUUUUUCUUCAUAAGGUUUGGUUGCUUUUGACCUAAAUUAAACUUCUGAGAGAACCUCAA